rnacentral:rRNA from 1 species
GAGUUUGAUCGUGGCUCAGGACGAACGCUGGCGGCGCGCUUAACACAUGCAAGUCGAGCGAGAACCAGUCCUUCGGGACUGGGGACGAGCGGCGAACGGGUGGAGUAACACGUGAGUAAUCAACCCUCGGUACCGGGAUAGCCCGGGGAAACUCGGAUUAAUACCGGAUGGCCCAUCCGCUUUUCGGAGCGGUUGGAAAAGGUAGCUUCGGCCUCCGACCGGGGACGAGCUCGCGGCGGAUUAGCUUGUUGGCGGGGUAACGGCCCACCAAGGCGACGAUCCGUAGCUGGUCUGAGAGGACGAUCAGCCACACUGGGACUGAGACACGGCCCAGACUCCUACGGGAGGCAGCAGUGGGGAAUCUUGCGCAAUGGGCGAAAGCCUGACGCAGCGACGCCGCGUGAGGGAAGAAGGCCUCGGUUGUAACC